rnacentral:rRNA from 1 species
CAUUAAAGAGUUCUAUAACUCCCAAACCCAUGUGAACAUACCUAACGUUGCCUCGGCAGGUCGCACCUACCUUGUAGCACCCUACCCUGUAGGGCCUACCCGGGAGGUGCGGGUAAGCCUGCCGGCGGCCCACCAAACUCUGUUUGAUAUUGAAUUCUGAACCUAUAACUAAAUAAGUUAAAACUUUCAACAACGGAUCUCUUGGUUCUGGCAUCGAUGAAGAACGCAGCGAAAUGCGAUAAGUAAUGUGAAUUGCAGAAUUCAGUGAAUCAUCGAAUCUUUGAACGCAUAUUGCGCCCAUUAGUAUUCUAGUGGGCAGGACCGUUCGAGCGUCAUUUCAACCCUUAAGCCUUCGUUGCUUAGUGUUGGGAGCCUACGGCAACGUAGCUCCUCAAAGUUAGUGGCGGAGUUGGUUCACACUCUAGACGUAGUAAUUUUUUAUCUCGCCUAUUAGUUGGACUAAUCCCCUGCCGUAAAACCCCCAAUUUAUAUCAAGGUUGACCUCGAAUCGGUUCAGACAAACUCGCUAAAUUGAAGCAUCUUAGUCAGCGAAGGAAAAGAAACCAACAGGGAUUGCCCUAGUAACGGCGAGUGAAGCGGCAACAGCUCAAAUUUGAAAUCUGGCCCUCGGGUCCGAGUUGUAAUUUGUAGAGGAUGCUUUUGGCGCGGUGCCUUCCGAGUUCCCUGGAACGGGACGCCUUAGAGGGUGAGAGCCCCGUACGGUUGGACACCAAGCCUCUGUAAAGCUCCUUCGACGAGUCGAGUAGCUUGGGAAUGCUGCUCUAAAUGGGAGGUAAAUUUCUUCUAAAGCUAAAUAUUGGCCAGAGACCGAUAGCGCACAAGUA